rnacentral:ncRNA from 1 species
CCGAGGGUUCAGCCCCUCGUAGUCUAGAAGCGGUGCGUCACUGGCAACGGUGGGGUGCUAAGUGCUUUGACAAUGUAGCCACCCCUCGCGGGGUAUGUCUUUUUCCGUGAGGAAGAAGGGAUGAGUUCGGCAUUUGCGGCUGGGCGAGGCG